rnacentral:rRNA from 1 species
ACAGCAGUCGCCGCGGUAAUACGUAGGGUGCGAGCGUUAAUCGGAAUUACUGGGCGUAAAGCGUGCGUAGGUGGUGGUUUAAGUCCGUUGUGAAAGCCCUGGGCUCAACCUGGGAAUUGCAGUGGAUACUGGGUCACCAGAGUGUGGUAGAGGAUAGUGGAAUUUCCGGUGUAGCAGUGAAAUGCGUAGAGAUCGGAAGGAACAUCUGUGGCGAAGGCGACUAUCUGGGCCAACACUGACACUGAGGCACGAAAGCGUGGGGAGCAAACAGGAUUAGAUACCCCGGUAGUCCCUGUCUCUUAUAC